UCAAGUGUUGCAUAAAUUAUAACUUAAACUACUUGAUAAGACUCAAAAGUAAAAUAAAGCAAUAAUAUCUUUGAAGUUUAAGUUGUUUUUGAUUUAACGAAUUAUCAAAGAACAAAGGGCAAGAUGAAAACUACCAAGCAAAUUAAAGCCAUAACAUCACAACUAGAGGUUUUAGAAGAAUUAAAAGAACAGUUUGAAUGUCUAAUUGCAGAUAUUGAUACGG